UCAACACGCAAAAUCCCCAACCCCUUUCUCCUUAAACCCUAGCUACAAAUCUCUUCUCCUUCUCAACUUCGGUUUUCAAGGCGGAAGAUUAAUUUCUCCCAGAAGAGAUCAUGCCAGACAUUUUCUCCCAGAAGAGAUCAAUUGCUAAAUCUGAUCUACACUGCGAAUCCUGUGGAAAUGUUGCAUCGUUUUUGUCAAUUUUCAAUUGAAUCGCCUUAAAGAUGUUGAUUCUGCUGUCAAUAAUGGUUAAAACCAGGCACGCUUUUAUGUUCAGAGUGUAUAUAGAGCUGCUAUUUGAUAAUGAGAGAGCCUCGCAACCCACAGUAGUUCCUAAGAGGAGUACUGCUUUGGUGUAUUCAUUAGCUAUGGAGAAUACAGUUCAGAAAAUGAUGUGAGAGAGGUGAGGCAUUAUUGAGACUGCCGCAAAGAAGAAAAUAACAGCCCUGUACAGUUUUCCUCGGCAACUGCAAAUGGAGCACAGAUUGUAUGAGGUUGUUUAACAUGGGAAUCAUGUCAGUGGUGGUGAAUUACCAUCUUCAGCUUCUGAUACUGGUUGUCAUGCAAAGAUGUUCAUCAGCUGAUGCAUCAUCGUUAAAGCACCGCAGGAAGCAAAUAGAAAGCCUUCAGAGAUACAGAAAUAAGUAUUGAGCCAGUGCCUCAACACGAAGAUAAGUCUUUCUCACUUCAUCUCUUUGAAGAGAUAAAGGUAUUAAACGAGUCGUAUACUCGUAUGUCACUACUUGCCAAAAUACAAGCACAAAAUCAGAGAGAGAUAGUGGGAAUUACAGAAUGAAGACAACUAGCCAAGGAAGUGAGUUCAAUUCUCUCAGAAGCUCGCGUUCCUUCAGUUGAAGAACCUUACUUCUCGCUAAUUAAAGACUGGCUUCGCCAAUGGGCUGAUAAUAUUUUCCCUCUUGUCCUUGGCAAGACAUCAAUUCAGUGCUCACACGGUGGAGUUCCAGUUUCAAAAGUUGGCUCCAUGAAGGGUUUGUCAGAAAAAGCCUGGACGAGGUUGCUUUCCAAGGUAUUCUCGUCUAUUUGUCAUUGUGCUUAUCUUUAUGAACAUAUUUGGAUGUCUGGUUGCCCUUCUAAUGUCAUCAAAUUAGUCCGGGCCUCUAAGCCAAGUAGCUGCGGUUAAAUUUGAAAUGGCAGGAUCGACUUUCGAGCUACCUGUUCUAUUUAUUAUCUCAACUUGUUUAAUAUUGUAGUUCGACCCAGUAGUUACCUUCCUUGUGAAAACAUUACACAUCUCAUUUGUUGUAUUAUAAUCUAAAUGGAAAUUAGGCACACUUUCUUUAGUAUCUAGAGACAGUUUACUUUGUCAGUGACUAGAUAUACAACCCACGGUUAAAUAAUUUAUUCCAUACUAAAUAGAGGUUCUGCUCACCAUCAUUCACGCUUCGUUAUUCAAACACACAGACUUCACAGUUGAUGCAUGGACAUUAAGCCAAACCAAAGGGACAAUGCACCAAAACAGAACUUAGCUUUAAACUUUGGCCUUAGUCUUUUUAUUGCUGCUCCCUUGGGGUUACACAAACUCUCCUUGUAUUGGAUACCGAGAUCAUUCGAAGGUCUGGCUUUAUGUAGCCUUACAAAAGCUAUUUAACAAAUAACUACCUAGCAUUUACAGAUUUACUUUAUGUUAGGCAGUGCAUAAUCAACCAACCUGCCUAUGGCUUUUCCUAGACUAAAGGAUCCUGGUCUCUGGAAAAGCAUAAAGCUAACGGCAACAAAGUGUAACCAACUUUUAACCGUCAAGACCAAAUGGUGCAUGCUUCUGAUGUUGUUGUGCCAAUGAUGACCACCAGCCAAGUGCCAUCAUUGUUGCGUAUCAUCUUCCUGUGAUGCAAGUGUGCGUACUGCAGGCUUUCCUAGCUUGCAUUUCUAGAUGCAACAUGCAUCCUGGCCCUGCCCAAAUCCUAUUUAGCGCAUGCCAGUGUUGCAUAUUACCUAUGCCAGUUGAUUGUAGUAGGCCAUGAUUGGCACUCUUUACUUGGGCAUGUUUGAGUCUGGAUCGGCCACAUCAGCCAUUAGGAUUACAAGCUUAAAUGAUUUAUUUUGAGUCAUGAUUAAGAUGUAAUUAUCUAAUUAGCUAAAUGCAGGUGGAGAGGUAUUUCACUUUCAAGUGCACAACAUAUUGUAGUUAAUUUGAGCUCAUAAUUCUUAAACUCCAGCUGUUCUAACUGGACGACUUUGAUUUGCCACGUCAUCGCUGUAGAGAUUCAUUAUUUGGGAUUUUCUAUUCUGGAAUGAAAUAUCUUUCUCCAUGUAAACAAACACAGCCCGCCCAUAGUACGGUGUUAAUGAAAGGUUAUCCAUUUCCCUGAAUAUGAAAGAAAGAGAGCCAUUUUACUUUAUCAUUCACCCAGUCAAGUCCAGUCUAUACACGAAAUCCAGUGCCAAACCCCUUAUCUUAUUAAACCGUAGCUACAAAUCUUUUCUUCCCGGGUUUUAAUGGGGAGGUUUAGUAUGCUCCUAGAAGAGACCAUUCUUUACAUUUUAACUAGUUUACCAGGUGAAUCUGUUCUAGGCAGCAAAUUAGUUAGCAAAUUCUGGGGAAAUGAUAUUCAACAAACAUCGUUUUCUCAAAUUUACUUGAAUCGCCUAAAUGAUGUUGGUACUGAUAAAUUUAGUUUCUUAUUCAUGAAUGAUGUGUUUGGUGUUGCAUUCUCAACCAGUUUUAUCAUUUUGAAUAUGAUAGAUAAUUUAUCCUCUGAAACAUAUCAUUUCAUAGGGUUAGAAGAAAUUAGUUAAACUCUCCAUUUGUGUGAAUUAUAAUGUUAUUGUCUCGUUUAAUGGUUUGAUUUUGUCUAACUUUCUGCGCUGAUAAAGACUGGAUGUAUUGUGGACCUGCUAGUUUAUUUAUAAAUGUGUGGGGUUAUUGCCUUAUUUCAGAAUCUUCCGAGUUUGUAAUACGUAUGAAAUGUGUCCCUCGUAUCUAGUUUACCGUCUUUAUCAGCUUUAUUUCUUUGUUUCCAAAUUGGUGUCGAGCUAUCUAGCUUUGCUGUUGUCUGGAUUUGGGAGUAACUAGUUAGGCCAUUUUAUUCCAUGGCUUGCUGACACCAAACUAGAGGUUAAUCAUGCAUCCAAUCUGAAGAUAAAGAUUAUACCGAGGAGCUUGCUGACCAGAUAGAUUGGAAGGGUUUUCAUUAAUUUUCUCUUACUUUUAUUUUAUAUUUGCUACUCACGCAUAGGUCAAGUACAUAAUUGUAAACCUUGGUAGAGAUGUUAAAACCUGGCACUCUUUUAAGUUCAUCGUGCAUAUUAAAUGAAAACCUCGCAACCCACAGUAGUUCCUUGGAGUAGUAUUGCUUUAGUGUAUUCAUUAGCUAUGGAGAAUACAAUCCAGAAAUUGAUGUGAGAAAUGUGAGUCCUUAUUGAGGUCAAUAUCCUAUAUAUUUGUUUUAAUAUUCUGUUGUUCUGACCCAAGCAAAGCCUGAUUGAUCUUCCACCACGGUCCUUAACAAUUCUGUCUAACUUUUUGGUCUUUCUAUACAGUGCCUUUGAUAAUUUAGAUUAUGAAAAGUUAUAGGCUAUAGAAGCUAUACCACGGGGUCCUGAGACAAAGCUGUCUAACAGCAGAGUUUAUUAAUAUUCACACUGAUUCAAGGGAUGGAGGGAAAGAAAGAAAAAGAGUAGACAAAGCUCUAUUUUGAUUUUAUCUUUAUGUUUCUCUGCUCUUCCUUUUGAGCUUCAGAUUUUUUGAGUUGUAUAAAGUAGAGAAAGAAAAAGAGUAAAGCAGGAGGGAUGAUGAUAUCUUUACUUCACCUGUACUAUAUCUUUUGUACAGCACAACAUAUGGCUUUUAAUAUUUAAUUAUAAGAGGGUAUUAGUUAUUAAAUUUA